rnacentral:misc_RNA from 1 species
CUGAGUUUUUAACUCCAAACCACUGUGAACUUACCACUGUUGCCUCGGCGGCCACCUCUCGUUAAAGAAGGCUGCCGGUGGACUACUAAACUAUUGUUAAUUUUUGUCAAUCUGAAUAAAAAACUUAAUAAGUUA